GCAGCAGUGGGGAAUAUUGCACAAUGGGGGAAACCCUGAUGCAGCCAUGCCGCGUGUGUGAAGAAGGCCUUCGGGUUGUAAAGCACUUUCAGUAGGGAGGAAAGGUAGCAGCUUAAUACGCUGUUGCUGUGACGUUACCUACAGAAGAAGGACCGGCUAACUCCGUGCCAGCAGCCGCGGUAAUACGGAGGGUCCGAGCGUUAAUCGGAAUUACUGGGCGUAAAGCGUGCGCAGGCGGUUUGUUAAGCGAGAUGUGAAAGCCCCGGGCUCAACCUGGGAAUUGCAUUUCGAACUGGCGAACUAGAGUCUUGUAGAGGGGGGUAGAAUUCCAGGUGUAGCGGUGAAAUGCGUAGAGAUCUGGAGGAAUACCGGUGGCGAAGGCGGCCCCCUGGACAAAGACUGACGCUCAGGCACGAAAGCGUGGGGAGCAAACAGGAUUAGAUACCCUGGUAGUCCACGCCGUAAACGAUGUCUACUCGGAGUUUGGUGUCUUGAACACUGGGCUCUCAAGCUAACGCAUUAAGUAGACCGCCUGGGGAGUACGGCCGCAAGGUUAAAACUCAAUG
rnacentral:rRNA from 1 species